UACAGAGGUCCCAAGCGUUGUUCGGAUUCACUGGGCGUAAAGCGCACGCAGGCGGUCUGCUAAGUUUGGAGUGACAGUUGGUGGCUUAACUGCCAAAGUGCUUCGAAAACUGACAGACUUGAGGGCUUCAGAGGGACACGGAAUUCCGGGUGGAGUGGUGAAAUGCGUAGAGAUCCGGAGGAACACCAAAGGCGAAGGCAGUGUCCUGGGGAGUACCUGACGCUCAGGUGCGAAAGCCAGGGGAGCGAACGGG
rnacentral:rRNA from 1 species